rnacentral:miRNA from 1 species
UUUAUCACAUCAAUGCCAAGCAG